GUUUAUGGCAUUUGGUGGCGAGCAAUGCUGGCGGAAAGCAAUCAGGAAAAGCUCGAAGCUCAUUGGCAAUGGCGCUCGUUACCACGCGGCGAACCCUUACAUCCUUCCUCUUUCAAGCUCUUCGUUCUUCUUCUUCUUCUUCUUCUUCUUCUUCUUCUUAUUUCGCCCCUUGUCGUUCUCGAUUUGCUCUCGCGCUCCUCGACGAGGGGUGCCGGCUCAUCCCCGACUCUACGAGAAUCUUGACCCGACCCAAAUCUUCCAAGUCGAGCUACUCGCCUCUGAAAGACUCGUCUCCAAACUGGAGCAACCGCCCCCCGAAGGAGACGAUUCUUCUUGAUGGCUGCGACUACGAGCACUGGCUCAUUGUCAUGGAAUUCCCUAAAGAUCCGGCACCCUCCGCCGAGCAUAUGGUCGACUCUUAUGUUAAAACCCUAGCUCAGGUUGUGGGAAGUGAAGAGGAGGCGAAGAAGAAAAUUUAUUCUGUUUGCACGACCACCUAUACUGGUUUUGGUGCUUUGAUCUCUGAAGAGCUUUCGUACAAAGUUAAAGGAUUACCUGGUGUUCUUUGGGUUUUGCCUGAUUCAUAUCUAGAUGUACCCAACAAGGAUUAUGGAGGUGAUUUGUUUAUUGAUGGAAAAGUCAUCCCUAGGCCCCAGUAUUGGUACAAUCAGAGGCAACAAGUUAGGAGCAGGCCUCGUCCACGAUAUGAUAGGCGCAGGGAAACAAUGCAGGUUGAUAGGAGAGAUUCAAUGCAAGGAGGGGGCUGGGCCCAGAAUCGAGGGGAGCCUGUUCAGCAACAAACAUCAAUGGAUGCCCAAAAUUCAACUCAAGGUGGAGGGAGAGAUCCCUCUCCAAACUAGAAGCAGUGUUUGACAAGUUUUGAGUUUAAAAUAUUUGGAACGUAGUAAAUGGAAUUAAGCUCUGUGCCAGCUCUUCCUGCCAUGACUAGUCUAGUACUGCAUGAAGCCUUGAAGUUUGGUUGCACUUGGGAUAUGCUGGUUUGUAUUCUUUCUAGUUCCAUUUCAACCUUUUUAAUAUUGACUGUUAUGCAACAAAUUUAAAAUUGCAAUAAUAUGUCCUAUUGUCAGUGGCUUAA